rnacentral:rRNA from 1 species
AACGCGAAGAACCUUACCAAGGCUUGACAUAUAGCGAAAAGUGGCAGAGAUGUCAUGUCCGCAAGGGCGCUAUACAGGUGGUGCAUGGUUGUCGUCAGCUCGUGUCGUGAGAUGUUGGGUUAAGUCCCGCAACGAGCGCAACCCUCGUUCUGUGUUACCAGCAUUCAGUUGGGGACUCACAGGAGACUGCCGGGGUCAACUCGGAGGAAGGUGGGGAUGACGUCAAAUCAUCAUGCCCCUUAUGUCUUGGGCUGCACGCAUGCUACAAUGGCCGGUACAAAGUGCUGCGAAAUCGUAAGAUUUAGCGAAUCACAUAAAGCCGGUCUCAGUUCGGAUUGAGGUCUGCAACUCGACCUCAUGAAGUCGGAGUUGCUAGUAAUCGUAGAUCAGCAACGCUACGGUGAAUACGUUCCCGGGUCUUGUACACACCG